rnacentral:rRNA from 1 species
AAACGUAGGGGGCAAGCGUUGUCCGGAAUUACUGGGUGUAAAGGGAGCGUAGGCGGAGAUUCAAGCGGAUUGUACAAUCCCGGGGCCCAACCCCGGCUCUGCAGUCCGAACUGGAUCUCUUGGAUAGUUCAGGGGCAGGCGGAAUUCCUGGGGGAGCGGGGGAAUGCGUAGAGAUCAGGAAGAACACCGAUGGCGAAGGCAGCCUGCUGGGGACUUAUCGACGCUGAGGCUCGAAAGUGCGGGUAGCAAACAGGAUUAGAUACCCUGGUAGUCCGCACCGUAAACGAUGCAUACUGGGUGUCCGGGGGUUCCCCCGGGUACCGUAGCCAACGCGUUAAGUAUGCCGCCUGGGGAGUACGUACGCAAGUAUGAAACUCAAAUGAAUUGACGG